AUGGCCAGCAAGUUCGGGCUCGCCGGCGGAAUCCCGGAGCGGCGGGUGCGGCCGAUCUGGGACGCCGUCGACUCGCGACAGUACAAGUCCGCGCUCAAGCUCUGCACCGCGCUCCUCGCCAAGCACCCCACCUCACCCUACGCCCUCGCUCUCAAGGCUCUUACUUUGGAAAGGAUGGGAAAGCCUGAUGAAGCACUGAGUGUCUGUUUGGAAGCCAAGGAGCUAUUGUACUCGAAUAACAUUUUCCAUUUUGACGAUCUCACCCUUAGCACACUACAGAUAGUGUUUCAAAGGCUUGAGAGAUUGGACCUUGCAACUUCAUGCUAUGAGUAUGCUUGUACAAAAUACCCUAAUAACUUGGAAUUAAUGAUGGGACUCUUUAAUUGCUAUGUCAGAGAGUACUCAUAUGUGAAGCAACAACAGACAGCGCUUAGAAUGUACAAAACUGUAGGAGAAGAAAGGUUUUUGCUUUGGGCAGUCUGCAGCAUUCAACUGCAGGCAUAUUUUAGCAGCGGAGGUGAGAAAUUGUUAGCAUUUGCUGAAGCAUUGCUUAAAAAGCACAUAAGUUCACAUAGUUUACAUGAGCCAGAAGCACUUUCUCUCUAUGUUUCAAUUCUGGAACAACAGGCAAAGUAUGAUGCUGCUUUGGAAGUUCUAUCUGGAGACUUGGGGUCUCUUAUGGGAAGGGAGGAGGACAAGCUUCGUUUGCAGGGACGCCUUCUUACUCAAGCGUGUAACUAUGUGGCUGCUUCUGAGAUAUAUCAGAAGGUUCUUGAAUCUUGUCCUGAUGACUGGGAGUCCUUUCUCCAUUAUUUAGGCUGUCUGCUGGAGCGUGACGUGAAGCUGCCUAAACCAACCACUGGCGAACAUACUUGUUCUUCCUGCUCUGUAGAUUCGAACAAGACUUCUCUCAGUGAGGAGGUGGUCGAAUCUCGCCUUGCAAGUGCAUUGUUAUUUGUGCAAAAGCUACAAAAAAAUGACUCCAGUGACUCUGUUAGAGGUCCUCAUCUAGCCAAUAUUGAAAUUGAACGGCAACACCGCCUCAGUGGAAACUCAACAAAGUUUAUGGAAGCUUUGGUAAACUAUUUCCACAGAUUUGGUCACUUGUCUUGCUCAUCGUCAGAUGUUGAAAUAUACCUCCACAUGCUAUCGGGUGAUGAAAUAACGGAGUUGCUAGAUACAAUUUCCAGAUCUUUUGAUGCAUCAUCCGUUUCAGUAAAAGCAUUGGGUUUGACAAUAACUACUUUUAAGGUUCAAGAACUUUUGGGAACUUUAUUAUCAAAGUCAACUACAGAUCUUCAGCGCAUUGCAAAAGGAAUGGUUGAGACAUUUUACAAAAACUUGCCUCUCUCAAGAGACUUAGAUCCUCAGGAAAGCAUGCAUGGAGAAGAACUGCUGUCUAUGGCUAGCAAUAUUCUUGUGCAGCUUUUUUGGCGUACAAGGAAUUUGGGGUACUUACUUGAAGCAGUUUUGGUGCUAGAGUUUGGAUUGACUGUUCGCAAGCAUGUCUGGCAAUACAAGAUUACUCUGGUGCAUCUGUACUCUUACUUGGGAGCUCUUCCGUUAGCACAUCGAUGGUAUGUAAGCCUGGAGGUCAAAAACAUUCUUCUAGAAUCCGUCUCACACCACAUCUUGCCACAGAUGUUGAGUUCUCCUUUCUUGCAACAAACUGCCAGUCUUGUGAAGGAUUAUCUUAGGUUCAUGGAUGAUCAUUUGAAAGAAUCUGCUGAUCUUACCUGUCUUGCAUAUAGGCACCGUACUUACUCAAAGGUAAUUGAAUUUGUGCAGUUCAAAAAUCGCUUGCAACGCUCCAUGCAGUAUCUUGCUGUAAAAUCUGAUUCUGUAAUACUGAGCCUGAAGCAGAAGUCUGAGUCUCUUGAGGAAGUGGAGUCUGUUCUUGAAAAUGUGAAUCAUGGAGAAGGCUUGGUUGAUCUAUCAAGUGAAGACAACAUGAAACAUUUAACUUUUAAUGAAGAUCUCGAGGCACGCCCUUGGUGGACACCAACAACCAGUGUAAAUUUUCUUUCAGAACCAAUUGAUGAAAGUUCGACACCUGCGUGCUUUAGGGCCGAAGUGUGCAAGCACAAAUCUACUGAGAAGGAUGGCCCUAAGAUGAGAGAUGCUGAGAGAAAAUGUCUUGUCCCCCAGCUUGUUUACCUUUCCAUGCAUGGUUGUGUAUCUUCCCUCAGGGAGACUGAGCCCAACGGGUCUGUUUCUGAUAUCACUGUUGGGGAAAUGAAAACCUUACUUGAGAAAUAUGCUAGGACUAUUGGCUAUUCCAUGGAUGAUGCUCUAAGCAUGAUUCUUGGUAUAUCUUCAGGCAAGAAGUCUAUGAAGGAUUUUGCUCCUGAUAUUGUGAGCUGGAUGAGUUUUGCUGUAUUUAUUAAUGCAAUGAACUUGUGGUCAAAUGAAUCAGUGAUCCCCAGAACUGAUCCGAGCAGCCCAAGUUCUUGGGAGAUUGUGGACAGCUUAGUGAAAAUUUGCAUAGAGGAGCACCUGACUGAUGCCAAUAGAAUCCUGACUUGUCCUGGAAAUAAAAUUCCACUAUUAGUGCAAAUGGUUACAGAACCCAUUUCUUGGCAUCUCAUCAUAAUCCAGUCCUGCAUGAGAGUGGUGGCCCCGCAAGGAAAGAAGAAAAAGAAAAGUGGCCCAUCGCUGCGACCAAACAUGCCUCAGUUGCAAGGAAUUCAAAGAUCUGUUCAGUGCUUGAUUGAAACACUCCGAAGUGUCCAAAAAUGGUUAUCUGAUCAGAUGAGUCUAGAGGAGCAAGGUUUGGAUAUCUUAAUGUCAUAUUUGCAAGGAACUGGCGAUGAAGGUCCAGGACAGACAUUCAGAGUCUUGGAAGAGAAACCAGCAGCACAUGCCUCUGAGCUUGGUGAUCGAAUUGCUCAGUCUCUGGAAGCAUGGAGUUCUACUGGUGUGGUAAGAAGAAUUGUUGGAGCAGAACAUGAGGUCCUAGCCGAGUUCAAGAAAAUGGUUGACUCUAAACUCAAGCUGCUCAUGUCAGAAUCCGCUUGUCUAUCUUCGGUGUUACACUAG
rnacentral:rRNA from 1 species